rnacentral:rRNA from 1 species
UACGGGGGGGGCAAGCGUUGUUCGGAAUUACUGGGCGUAAAGGGCUCGUAGGCGGUCAACUAAGUCAGACGUGAAAUCCCUCGGCUUAACCGGGGAACUGCGUCUGAUACUGGAUGGCUUGAGUGUGGGAGAGGGAUGCGGAAUUCCAGGUGUAGCGGUGAAAUGCGUAGAUAUCUGGAGGAACACCGGUGGCGAAGGCGGCAUCCUGGACCACGACUGACGCUGAGGAGCGAAAGCCAGGGGAGCAAACGGG